rnacentral:sRNA from 1 species
GCGGCCGCGGCCGGGCUGGGGCUUCAGCGGGAGGCAGCAGAGGGGAAGUGGCCAGCGUGGCGAAUGACGGAAGAAACUCGCAUUGUCUACUGGAUCAAGGACAGACAGCUCACCAACCAUGACAGCACCAUACUGGAACUUCAAAAAGUUCUGAAAACAUGUUGUGCUCAGAGCAUGAAAAUUUUCUGCUGUCUUUGGAACUUUGUCUACAAACAGUUAGAAGAUGCAGCCCAAGGGCUCACCAUGGGUGGCGAUGUUGAAGAACAUGAAGACCUUACUGCUGAUAGCACCAUCUUCAAAUUUGUGGAAGCUUAUGUGAGUUGGAUAGGAAAAUUUCCUACAUAUAAUGUUGGCUCUUCCAUUUGUUUCCAAUUUAGUAUUUCUCAGUUGAUAUUAUUUUUUUGU